rnacentral:rRNA from 1 species
UACGGAGGGUGCAAGCGUUAAUCGGAAUUACUGGGCGUAAAGCGCACGCAGGCGGUUGGAUAAGGUAAAUGGGAAAGCCCCGGGCUCAACCUGGGAAUUGCCUUUAAAACUGUCCAGCUAGAGUCUUGUAGAGGGGGGUAGAAUUCCAGGUGUAGGGGUGAAAUGCGUAGAGAUCUGGAGGAAUACCGGUGGCGAAGGCGGCCCCCUGGACAAAGACUGAAGCUCAGGUGCGAAAGCGUGGGGAGCUAACAGG